rnacentral:tRNA from 1 species
UCCCUGGUAGCUCAGGUGGUAAAGAAUCUGCCUGCAAUGCAGGAGGCCCAGGUUUAAUCCCUGGAUGGGGAA